AGUGGGUCACAAACAGCACUUUCAAAGGUGAACUGAAUAGAAGAGAAAAUAGCAAUGUGCGCUGCACACAGUGGAACCUGCUCUGCAUAUGUCCCUGUCAAGAGGCAAUGCACAGAAAGUACCAGAACGCUCCUCUUCCCACUGUGAGGUGAUGCAUGGAAUGAGGGGAUGGCUCAGUUUACUCUAGAUAGAAAUAGGAAAAUAUUAAAUCACUCAAAAUAAUAAAGUAUAAAGAUUUUAAAAGUUCAUUUGGGUUUCAAAUAGUGCAGAUUUAGCAGUAAUUAUGUGGUAUAUGAACACCUUGCUAAUAAAUCUUUUGAUAGAUAUUUAAAUUAUAUGGGAGGAAUAUUCAUCAGGAAAGCAGAAAAAUAACAUGGCAACAACGUAAAGGCCUUGAUUAGAAUUACUUCAGAAUAGCACUUAUAUCAUUUAUGUGGGUCCUAAUGAAAACAGAGCCUAAAGACUACAUCAGGAAAGAAAGGCAGAGCUCUCCAUCUGGGGGUGCAAGUCAGUGCCCUGAAGAAAAUUUUAUAAGACUCUCCAGGAAAUAACAACUUACGAGUGGCUGGGGUUCUGGAAAACAGAAUAGAACACUUCCUAUUAGAACUCAAAAGGGCCAGGAGUUCAAGACCAGCCUGGCCACCAUGGCAGAGCCCCAUCUCUACUAAAAAUACAAAAAUUAGCCAGGUAUGGUGGUUGUACAUCUGUAAUCCCAGCUACUCAGGAGGCUGAGGCAUGAGCAUUGCUUGAAUCAGGGAGGUGGAGGUUGCAGUGGGCCAAGAUGACGCCACUGCACUCCAGCCUGGAUGACAGAGUGAGAUUCUGUCUCGGGGAAAAAAAAAAAUUGCCACUUGUGGAGGACACAGCUAUUUGGGGCCACACAAUACUUUCUUUUCCAUUUUGUUUAGAAAAUGGCACUCGGAUCUUCAUGACGGUGCCCACCACCCCCCUCCUUUAAGCCAACCAGCAGACUUCAUCGUCAGGCCGUGGAGACACAGGGAGACACUUGCCAAGGCAUCUGUGAGACGCACUUCUUCAUCCUUCUGUGAAGCUGCAUGAGGCGCUCUGCAUCCCCACUGGAGAGAAACCCAGCAAGCACCGCCCAGGCCUGCUGGGACCCGUGGGGAGGCUAUGCAAGAAAGAGGCUGAGGAAAGGGCAGAGAGAAGCUGGGUGUGCCCAUAUAAUGUAGGCUGCCAGAUCAGACCUUGCCUGAAGCUAGCCCUUCUUCGGCCUUCUAGGUCAGAGAUACAGCUUCAACAACCACCAAAAAAUGGAGCUGUUCAUCAUAGCAUCAGAUACUUCAACACAUUUCUGGAAAUCAGAAGCCACCUGUCUGGCACAAAUCUGAAAAGGAAGAUGGGGUACGGGUGUCCUUUUUGCCUGCACACUGGAGUGCAUGGGUUUCUGGGUGUGAAGCCCCCCUCUUGCUAACUCAGCAC
rnacentral:lncRNA from 1 species